AAGCAAUACACGUCUGCAGCGAUCUGCACGCAUUCAUACAUUUCAUAAUCAGCAUCUCUGUGACGAUCCAAUACAUUCCUACGCUGGAUCACUUGGUGGCGCUCUGAAAUGACGUAACGGAAAUGAUGUAUUUUACCAACAAACGGGAAGGACCAUAUACGGGCGGCACAAAGACGUUCAACACCAUCACCACCUCUAAUUCCUCUCCUCCAAGCUUCUCCAGCUCAGCAUCUCGCCUGCCAUCUGCCGGUGGAUUUACAGCUUCCUGAUGGGCAGGACACAGCAGGAAGCGGAGCGGCUGGAGCUGUGGUGCGGCCGACACAACCUGGCGCUGAACAAACCUGUGUUUAUCCAUCGCAGUCUGGUUUGGUGCUGCCACAAAAAAGGACAAACUCCAACUGCAACGGACAAUCAAAACUGCUGAAAAGCUUGUCGGUGCCCCCCUACGCACCCUUGAGGACUUGCUCGCUGCCAGAACGAAGACGAGAGCAUGCAAAAUCCUCUUGGACCCUCCACAUCCUGGUCACCAGCUCUUCUAGCUCCUUCCCUCAGGUAGGCGCUAUCGAACAUCCAUCCAUCCAUCCGCUUAUCCUCACUAGGGUCGUGGGGAUGCUGGAGCCUAUCCCAGCUUUCUUUGGAUGAGCAGCGGGGUACACCCUGAACUGGUCGCCAGCCAAUCACAGGGCACACAUAAAUAAACAACCAUUUGCACUCACAUUCACACCUAUGGGCAAUUUAGAGUCUUCAGUCAACCUAUCACGCAUGUUUUGGGGAUGUGGGAGGAUACCGGAGUACCCGGAGAAAACCCACGCAGGCACGGGGAGAACAUGCAAGCUAAAACCAUCACAUAUUGCUUCCCUCUUGCCAUUAACGUCUUAAACUGUUAACUUACAAUUAAUUCUAGUGUAACAUGCUGGCAAUUUUUGUCUUGUCAAUUAUACAUUAUUCGUGCACUCACUAUAGUAGUCUCGCCGCUCUGCACUAUUUGCAUAUCUGUUGUUGACCAAUACUUGCCCCUCAUGUGCUUGAGAAGUAUCUGCACCAUUUGCACAAUUGUCACUGUACCAGAUUAUUGCUCUAUUAGUCAUUUCAAACUGCUAUGAAUUGCUAGAGGUCUCUGCAUCAUUUGCACAACUCCCAAAAAAAAAUUAUAAUAUAGUAUCAGCAUUGCUCAGUAACUCUCUGUACUGUGUUUUAUGUUUAUGUUUUUUUUUUAUGUCAAAUGGCUGUCUGUUGUUGUACUAGAGCGGCUCCAAUUUAUGGAGACAAAUCCAUUGUGUUUUUCUGACAUACUUGGCAAAUAAAGAUGAUUCUGAUAUACA